UACGUAGGGUGCGAGCGUUGUCCGGAAUUACUGGGCGUAAAGAGCUCGUAGGUGGUUUGUCGCGUUGUUCGUGAAAAACCGGGGGCUUAACCCUCGGCGUGCGGGCGAUACGGGCAGACUUGAGUACUGCAGGGGAGGACUGGAAAUUCCUGGUGUAGCGGUGGAAUGCGCAGAUAUCAGGAGGAACACCGGUGGCGAAGGCGGGGUCUCUGGGGCCGAUACUGACGCUGAGACGCGAAAGCGUGGGGAGCAAACAGGAUUGAGAA
rnacentral:rRNA from 1 species